rnacentral:lncRNA from 1 species
UGAUAGCAAUUCAUCAAACACAUAAAAGGCAUGCACGUAAGCGUCUAAUUUCAUUUCAUUCAUUUUGUAGUAUUAAUUAAAUUAAUUUUUGCAAAGGCAUUAUAUCUCAGAACUAGUGUAGAAAUGUCUCUGCCUUUUUGCUCUGAUUCUCUUAGAUCUUUACUGAUUAGUUCCAAAUGGAGCAGGUUUUUUUCUACCUUUGUAACUUGCACUCCGUUUCGAACAAAGAAAAUAGUGAAUGAAAAAGAAGGAAAAUAAAAAUAUAUUGAAUUCUUUCAUUAUGUUUGCUCUAUAUGUGCCUAGGAAAGUACAAUGGAUUACAUUGUAAUGAAGGAAUAUGUAUCUGAAUCUAAGAGAUCUUUUUUUGUUAAGAUAUAAAAGUUGUACUCCUAUUUUAUUACAUACGUAUUUCAUCAUCAUUUUCUCUCGCUUUUACGAGGUUUAUUCCUUUUAAACUACUCCUAUAUAGCAACCAAACCAAAUAAAGAUAAACUAGAGAUAAGUAUUUUUUUUUUUUUUGGUCGAAAAGGUAUAUGAUAUUAUAGAUAAUCAAACAAGUACAGGAUAAUUGUUAAGAAGUGCAUAAGAAGUAUCAUUUGUACAAAAGUAGAAUUUGGCAUCAGGUCUCCCGUGUGGGAAAACUAGAGAUAAGUUGAUAUAAAUGUCCAAGACCUAUUUUAUGACCUGUUAAGUUCGUAAUAUGAAAUAGAAAGUUAAAAAGGUUAACGUCUUUCUAUUCGUUAGAUACCAUUGGGUAAUGAAUAGUAAAUGUUCAACUCUAUAUAUAAUUAUCCAAUCCCAAGUACCAAAUGGGUGAAUAGAACGAAACGAAAAUUAAGAAGUGUUUAGAACGAAAAUAAAUGCAUUUCUAAACUUUGAGUCCAAAUAGGUUAACUGAAAGAAAGGAGUAGAAGAGAGUGAAUUAGUACUUCGAGGUAAAUUUAUUCCAAAUGCGCCUCACACUUUUUAUCACAUUUUCCUACCAGCUUUCUCCGUUUCUUUUCCUUCGUAUAAAUUUUCUCAUAUUUCCAGGCACAAGAAAAGCAAUUCUUGCUUUAGGAAAUUUAGGUUCCAAACUGGACCUCAACGUAUCAUGCAAUUUGAGUCAAAUGUCAGUAGUCAAUACUUAGAUGUUCCAAACUGGACCUUAAUUUGCGGGUCAUUUACGAAAAAUAAGUUACCUUUGCACUCACGAGUAGAAGUGGCAAAAUGGUUAAAAGAAAAUGAUUUUUUCAUUCGUAUACACUAUUGAAAAUUUUAUUACCCUAAAUAUUCAUGUUUUGUAAAUUACCCUACCUACACAAGUUUUGUUUAAAAAAUAUAUACAUUCCACCUUAAAAGGCUCUCAAUCCAUUAUUAAUGCCUUCAAUUAAAGGAUUUAAUUACACUCUUUACUCUCUUUUUGGGAGUUGUCCUCGAGCUAUCUCAUCUCCCAACAUGCUAAAAAGAUACAUUAUGCAUGUCUAAAAAAUGUUUAUUUUCUUUUUAAUGUUAUGUGAUAAUAAAUUUCAACGGAAAAAUUUAUUCUCUUUCUUAAAAUUUUAUAAAAUUAAAUACAUAAGAAUUUUCUAUUUGUAUGUUUAAUGUGUCUCUUAGUGAUCUAUUUUAAUAUAUAGUAGUAAUAGAUAUAUAUCAUCUUUAUGAAAACUAAGACGUAAUAUCCUCUUAAAAUAAAUAUAUUAUUCAAACUAAUAAUUGUGUAAGAUUUUCAUUUUCAUAAUAUAGAAGGUGUAAGUUUUUUAUUUUAAAAUAUCACACAUGUAUAACCCUUUUGAAUAUUAGCUUGGACCUUUUCCAUAAAUCUAAACAUUUUUUCUUGGCGGACAUUGGGAAGAGGAGUCACAAACUGCAGAUCCUUUAUACUACCUAACUCUGAAAUGUGAUAAAUUUGAGAUUUUGUGUGUCGAGUCUCAGCUCGCCGGAUCUCUCAUUCUCUCUUCCAUGAUCUUCAAGUCAAUCAAUUGAGUAUUGUUAAGAGUGUGAUAAACAAGGAGAGAAAGGAGUAGAGCAUGAGGCCGAUGAAUUUGGUGGCCAGAGAUCGAAUUGAGGCAUUUGUUUCAUUUUUCGUCACUCCCAACAUGCCUAAACAUGCUUAAACAUAUCAUGUAUCUUAUAUAAAUUUGUAAAUCAAAAGUUUUACCAAGGAAAAAAUAUUUUUGUGCAAGUCUUUAAAAAUAUCCAGUUAAAUAUAACUAUAAUAACAUACAACUUAAAUGCAAAUUUUAUACAAAAUUUAUAUAAUGUCUUUUGUAUAUUUUGUAUCUGAUUUAUACAUAGUAAAACAAAUUUCAUACAACUAAUUAUAUAUUAUACGAUUUAUCUACAACUUUCACAUAUUAUUUCUACCCAGUUAAAUACAACUACAAUAACAUACAACUUAAACGCAAAUUUUAUACAAAAUUUAUACAAUGUCUUUUGUAUAUUUUGUAUCUGAUUUAUACAUAGUAAAAACAAAUUUCAUACAACUAAUUAUAUAUUAUAUAACUUAUCUACAAUUUUCAUACAUUAUUUCUACUCAGUUAUAUACAACUACAGUAUCAUACAAUUUAAAUAUAAUUUUUAUACAAUGUUGUUUAACUUUCAUACAAUAGUUAAAUAAAUAAAAGAAAAAUAUAUAAACAACAGAAUACAAUAUUUCUACAAUUUUACUACAAUUUCGUAAUAUAAUUUACAUCAUGUCUAAUCUUCACCAAAAUCCCUUAAAAUUGAGAUAUAAACUCCAAGCCAUAUUCCCAAUUGUUUGCAACAACACCCAAUCUAAACAAAUAAUGAUUUUCGAAAACUCGAAUUCGAAUUCAAAGCUUCAAAGCUUUUUAAUAGCUGUCAAUGGUGGAAUNNNNNNNNNNNNNNNNNNNNNNNNNNNNNNNNNNNNNNNNNNNNNNNNNNNNNNNNNNNNNNNNNNNNNNNNNNNNNNNNNNNNNNNNNNNAACGUGAGGGAGUGUAAGAUAUGUUAGAGUAAUUUUAGGACACUAAUUAUUAUCAUUAAUUCCCUUAAAGUACAUAAAUGGUAAUUAGGUAUAUAAAAUGUAAUUAUAGUAAAACUUGAGUAGGGAGGUAAUAUAAUUUCAUAUAGUGUAUAUGAAUGUAAAAAUUCCUAAAAGAAAACAGUUAUCCACCCAUAUUAUCCAUCAAAAAAUAGGUUGGAUAAUGAACCAUUUAAAAACGGGUCAAAUAUGGAUAAAGAACCAUAUUAUCCACUUAGAAAAUGGUUAACCAAAUGAAUAACUAAUGUAUUUAACUUUUACAUUUGUAAAGCCUCAUAUUGGAGUUCCAAGUUUGGAAGACAAGGAAUUCACUUAUAAGUGAUCAUAUUUAAGAAGUCACCAUAUUAUCCGCCGGAUAAACUUAUUUUUUAUCCAUCUCAAAUACGGGUCGGGUCGAAUAAUUUAUUCAUUUUUUAAAUUAUCCGUUUUGACCCGCUCAUAUCCGACCCGACACGCCCGUUCGACACCCCUACUCACGAGUCAUAUUAUGUUGAUUGAUUAACAAACAUAUGUCCAAUUAUAAUGUCCGCAUCUGUUUGACUUUUCACGAGGAAGUAGCAUUAUAAAUUAAUACUGUCAUUAGUCAUUACUUAGAUGUAAGAAAAGUGUAGGAAAUGCAACUGCUUCUGUUUCGCUUUUAACCUGGCAAACGAAUUGAUUACUAAAAUCAGAGUUGCCUUUGACCCACCCAAUCCAUGGCCAGUUUGGUCAACUUGAAUUCCCAACAAAUCACUAAGAAAAAGGUGGCGAAUCAAAAUCAUAUUCAUUGCCAGGUUCAGAUCAAAUGAGACACAUAUUGCAAAUAUACAGCAAUUUAGCCCAAAGUUGGGUGUAAAGAUCUUCAAUUCGGUCUCUUUGUGAAAAAAAGAGCCAAAGACCACUGAGAUUAAUGGCAAAUGUCCAUCCAGUUUUUAUUUUAUUGAAAAAUUGAGAAAGUCACUAUUCGAAAGAUUUACAAAGUCACUGUAUUUACGAAUCAAAUAAUGAAGUUAACCUAUUAAAGUUACCCAUAUCUGGAAUAAGGAUAAAUCAAUUUCAAGUUUUGACAGAGUUGAACGCAUAAUUUCUUGAUUAGGCAUCUAUGCUUUUGCACCAGAGCAAAGUUAAUUCAUUGGCAAUUUGAAUUCCAUGGGUUUGAUAUGCAAAAAAGGCAUGAAAGGUCAGAACAAUAAAUGCUGAUAAAUGACAUGCAAACAAAUUAGAAUUUCAAUUUGAAAAAUGAAGCAAAACAUUCUAAGUAGUAUGAAAUUAAUUAGACCUGUGUCACCUCUUAUGUUUCCCACCUUUCUUUGUAAUUUCUUAUAACUUCAGAACUCACAAUAGAUCAUAUUGAGACUAAAAAGAAAAGCACCUUUUACAGUAACAAUAGCUAAUUAAUAGCCAUGGAUGAUUUCAGAGCAUUUAUUCUUGAACCACCUCAGUCCAUUUCUAAUGGAAGUCUUGAACUUUCCUUCAAUAGUAUAGACUUUGUACUUUGCUAUUCUCUUUCGUCUCUUCAUCUCUGGAUCAUUGAAUCCCCAUGGCUUAGCUGACGAUGAAGUUGCUGUCGCCACCUGACUCGGCCAUGUCCCCUUGCUCGUUACUACGGGCAGAUCCGGUGAGCGAGCCCGACUUCCCUGCAUAGGCGAAUCUAAAAUUUAAACUUAAUAGUUCAACUAUAAGGUUCUUGAAAUCAUGGUUCUUAAUGUAAUAUUAGUAAUGCUUACCUGUUUUCCGCUUACGAUCUCUAGUCUUCGGUCGCCGGAGCACCGGAAACUCGGGCGGAGCUCCUCCAUAUCUGCUGGUAAGACUAGCUAGCUUAUAAAAGAGAGCAAAAAUAUAAAUUUGUCAACAGGAUAUACAGAAGUUCAAUAAUACAUUUGGGAAUGUGAAAUGGUAAUAUUGUAAUAGGAAUAAGGAAGAAGGAUUCUCCAACUUCCUUUCUGCUAAUAAUUUAAAAAUAAGAGAGGUACCUGUAAGAUGGAACAGAACUUUAGCUGUAAUGGGGUUGUAUUUUUUUCAGAUUAGAUUCUGUAAUGGUGGUCUCCCAGUACUCGAUGACACUUCUUUUUUUCUGCCACCAUAUUUUUAAAUUGGGAUUGUAUGACUAUUUCGUACUAUGGUUGCUAUAAUUAAUAUGGACAUUUCAAAAGAUGGUGCCUAGGAUUUAUGAUGUCGUGCCAACCUCGAUGUUAUCGAUCUUGUCACCGGAAAUUAAUCAUCUUCCCUCCUUUAUUCUAGUUAAGAGAAUUAGAGAAGUCCACAAUUAUUCUAGUUACUCCAUCCGGUUCAAAAUAAGUGAUUUUUUAAUUAUUUUUAUACAGAUUAAGAAAUCCACUUUUUAACAUUAAUUAACAAUGAAAUUGACCAUAUUAACUUUUACUAUCUCUUCACAUAAAUACUCCUAACACAUAUUCCAACGCUAUUUACUUCAAAGGCAAUGUAGGAAAAAAAUAAUUAAUUCAAUUUUAAAAUCUGAAAAAAUCACUUAUUUUGGACCAGAGGGAGUACUAUUCAAAGGGUAUCCUAAGUGACGAUUAGAAGUAUGAGAUUUUAGAUUUUCAUGCACCAUAAGCAUAUAUUCAUUGAACAUAUAGCUUGACUCAAUCAAAUUUAGAGUCGGUUUGGCCGAGCUAUCAAAAAUUGCUCAUAUUGAAAAGUACUUUUUCUUAUAAGUGCUUUUUUGAAAAGUACUUUUGAAAAGAAAAAGAAAAACAAAAACAGUUUGUGCUUGAUCAAUUUAUUUGAGAAGUAAUUUUUGCAACAUUAGGUAAACAAAUUGUGUUUGACAAAUUUUUCUAGAAAGUGCUUUUGAGUGUCAAAUUACUCAAAAGCAUAGUACCAAAGUAUUAUAAUUAUUAUUUAAAAAAAAUAAAAUAUUUGUUGUAAGAGAUUUUUAUUAUUAUUUAUUUAAUUUAAUUUAAAUAUAACAUAAAGUAAACAUACAUAUUAAAGAUAUAAAUCAAUAAAAUAUAUAGAGUUAUACCAAAGUAAUAAUAUUACUGUCACGACCCUAAACUCAAACCUGUCGUGAUGGCGCCUAUCGAUGAUACUAGGCCAGCCGACUCUCACAAUACUUCAAUAACUCAUUCAAAGACAUGCUAAAAAGCCUUUUUAUAACACGAUUUUUCAUUAAAAAAAAAGAAAAACAAGAGUUGAACUCAAUCAAGAAAGGCUGAACGAAAGCCCCAAAUAUCGGGGUGUCACUAAGUCAUGAGCAUCUAAUAGAACUGGUCUGACAAUAGCAAGAUUUAACAUAGUCUGGAAUCCAAAAUACAACUCAUGAAAGAUAGGGAAGAAGAAAAGCAAGGCUGCGAACACCGGGCAACUACCUUGCUAUCUCCAAACUGCUGCAAAGACUAUCAACAACCUCUACGAUCAACUACUCCUGGAUUUGCACACGAGGCGCAGGGAGUAACGUGCGUACACCACCUCAGUAAGUAAUAGAAAUAAAUAGGGAACUGAGAAGUAGUGACAACCUAUGCAAAUACAGUUUAUUUCCAUAAAAAUUCGGUAAAGCGUAGGCAUGAUUUCGGUUAAGUCAAAUAAGUUGAUUUAAGUCAAGUUCAAGUAGUGUCAGAUAAAUUAUCUUUCAACAGUUCUCAAAGCACGAGUAUAAGGCAACUAUGUGCAACACUGAUGAAAUCAUAUACUGCCCCUCGAGCAAUCUUCACUCAGUCCUCCCAAUCACUCCAACCUCACAACCACUCAUUCCACACAAUCUCUCAACACUCGGCACUCAGUAGGUACCUACGCUCACUAGGGGUGUGUACAAACUCCGGAGGGGCUCCUUCAGCCCAAACAUUAUAUCAAUGCCAAUCAUGACAGAAUCAAUAAAACAUGCUGCGAGUGUAGCCCGAUCCCAUAAAUAUCCUCACAAUCAGGCCCUCGGCCUCACUUAGUCAUCGAUCUCUCGGGCUCUCAGAAAUCAGGAUAAUCAGCCCAACAGAAAUGACAUGAUGCAUCAAAUAGAAUAACAGAGACUGAUAUAUGAUAUAAUAAUGCAUGAACAUGACUGAGUACAGAAUAUCAAUGAAAAUAGUAAGAUGGCAGCAAGAAACGACCACUAAGGGUCUCAACAAUACCAGCAUAGCUAACAACAGGUUGUCCAACUUUAUAGUUUAUACGGGAACCAAGUCACAAUCCCCUCGGUGCACUCCCACACACCCGUCACCUAGCACGUGCGUCACCUCCAAAAUAGUCAGAAGACACAAAAUUCGGGGUUCCAUACCCUCAGGACCAAAUUUACAACUGUUACUUAUCUCAAUCCGAACAAAUCUCUACUCUGCAAUGCCCUUGCUUCUCGAAUCGGCCUCCAAACGUCCCGAAUCAAGCCACAAGCCGUACAAUACCUUUAAUACAUGCUAAAGGAAUCAAUUCCGCAAGAGGAAUUACUAAAUUAGACUCAAAACUUGAAAUUGGCUCAAACUUAGCCCCCGGGCCCACGUCUCGAAAUACGACAAAAGUCACAAAACCCCAAAGCCCAUUCACUCACGAGUCCAAUCAUACCAAAUUUAGUCAAAUCCGAUAAUAAAAUCCCCUUCAAAACCUCAAAAUUCCAUCUUAAGAACUCUUCCACUUUUUUUCCAAUUUUUCACCCCAAAUCACAAUUUAGAUGAUAGAAAUCAAGAUAUAAUCAUGGAAUUUAACUAAAAUCAAGUAAAAAACACUUACCCCAAUCAACUCCCUAAAAUUCCCUUCAACAAUCGCCCAAAUCCGUGGUAUCUAGCUCAAAAUAUGAAAAAUGAGUUCAAACCCUCGAUUUUGAAUAUAACACUAUCUGCGCAGAUUUCCUUCUUCAUGAACGUGACCGUCCUUUCGCGUUCGCGUAGAACAACUUGAUUGCCUCUCUGCUUUACUCUUCGCGAAUGCGACACAUGCCUCGUGACUGCAAUGCUUUACCGGCUCAGACCUUCGCGAACGCGAACGCGGCCACCACCUCACGAACGCGUAGAACAAGGACCUGGCAUCCCAAACUGCCUUACUCCUCUUCGCGAACACAACCCUACUCCCGCGUUCUCCAUGUACACUCAAACUACACCUUCGUGUUCACGUUCGUGUCCUCUCCUUCGUGAACGCAAAGAACAAAAUCCUUAUCACUCAGAAAACACUCUUCGCGAACGCGAAAGAGGAAACCAGAAGAAAUAUACAGUAGACAUGAGCAAUCUCACCAAGACCAAAAAUGAUCCAUUAACCACCCGAAACUCACCUGAGGCCCUCGGGACCUCAACCAAACAUACCAACAUGUCCCAUAACAUCAUACGAACUUAGUGAAACCUUCGAAUCACUCAAAACAAUAUCAAAACACUAAAUUACACCGGGAUUCAAGCCUAAGAACUUCUAAACUUCCAAAUUCUACAAACGAUGUCGAAACCCACCAAACCACUUCGAAUGACCUCAAAUUUUGCACACAAGUCAAAAAUGACACCACGAACCUACUCCAACUUUUGGAAUUCCUUACUGACCCCGAUAUUAAAAUUUCCACUGCCGACCAAAAUCGCCAAAAUUCUAACUUUCGCCAAUUCAAGUCUAAUUCUACCACGGGCCUCCAAAUCACAUUCCAGAUGCACUACUAAGUCUAAAAUCACAUAACGGAGCUAACGGAACCAUCAAAAUUUAAAUCCGAGAUCGUUUACAUAUAAGUCAACAUUUGGUCAACUUUUCCAAGUUAAACCUUCACCAAGAGACUAAAAGUCUCAAUUCACUCCAAAACCACACUGGACCCGAACCAACUGAACUGGUAAGACAUAAUACAGUUGAAGAACAUAAAUAAACAGAAAAUGGGAGAACGGAGCUGUAACUCUCGAAGCGAUCGGUCGGGUCGUUACAAUUACCUAGUAUAAUUACGUAUUGUUUACAUGAUGAUAAUCUUCAACUUAACUUUAUCAUAGUUUCUUCCGAUUUUAUCAUUGAACUUUUGUACCAGAUUAGACCAUCAUAAUCUACUAAAAUGAGUCUUGGGACGAUUUCCGACUAAAAUUUCUUCCACACACAUAUUUAAAAUUAGGUUUGUGGUUUCUACAUCCCAUUGAGCCUUCUUAGAGUUGUUAUCCAAUGCCACUUUCUUGAUUAUUUUCUUUUCAAUAUGCAUUAAGAAACAUUUGAUUAAUAAUAAUAAAUGUUAAACAAAUAAGAUAACUAAAAAUCUAUUAAGUUAAAAAAGAAAAAAGAUAAAGAAAAUAAGAGCAUCAAGGGAAAAGCUUUCAAUUGUUAAUCACUCAUAUUAUUAAAAAUAAGUGUUAUUAUGCAUCAAAUCUAAAAAAAUAAAUCAGUAGUCACUUUCACAAAAUAUUAGAUGUAUCAGUACAUGCACUCACAUUAAAAAAGAAUAGAUAAAGAUACAUACUAGAUAUUGUGUAUAAUAAAUUGAUACAGUACUAUAAAAGAAAAAAAUAAAUCAUACUUGAUGACGAAAGUAUUUGAAUUUGUUAUCCUAUUAGUUUUGUUGUUUCAAAAAGGAAUUGGAGACACAAAAGAAGAAGUUGUACAAGAAAAAGGGAGAGGAGGUCUAUUAAUAGUAAUAGAUAGGACCUCUUAGUUUGCAAAAAGAAUUCGAGGCAAAAAAAAAAAGAGUUACCAAGAGAAUUCGAGGAGAUCUAUUACUUUAGAGAAAUAAAAACAAGAUCAAUCAAAAAAUAAUUUAAAAAGUAGCAAGACAUUACACAAAGGAAAAAUUGAAAACAAGACAAGUCAAAAAAUAAUUUGCUACGAUUCAUGUAUCUAAUAUCUCUAAUUUAAAAGAAUGGUAGAAACAAGAAACAAACAAGAAAAAGAAAAGGCUUAAAUCAGUAAGGGAUAAUUUGAAAAAUAUGAAUUUAUGGUGAGCACUACUAGAAAAUGCCAAAUUUCCGACCACAAAAUCUGUCGAAAAUCUCUUAUUUCUAAUGGAUUUCAAGUGGUUGAAAAAAUGAUGUUCGCAAAAUAUUUGCGACGGAAUCGAGCGCAAACGGGAAUUGUACAGUUGACUGGAUGAAAUUAAUACUCGUGAUUGCUCGGUAUAUUUGCGACAGAUUCAAUCGCACUAUUAUUUAUAUAAAUUAAUUAUAUAAUAAAUUUUUCGUCCGAUUUGGUCGGUAAUUUAAUUAAUAUUUUUUAUUUAUUUAAAUUUUCCGACCGAAUCGGUCGGAAAUUAAGACGUUAAAAAGAUAAUUAAUUCAAUUUUUGACCACUUUAGCCUCAAAUCUGGGAAUUUUGUUGGUAGGAAAUUUAUCGGAAAAUUUGGUAAAAUACAAUAGAAUUCUACUGUAUUUUAAGCCACACCCCCCUGCCAAAUGAAACAAUGAAUACGUAGCAGCCAAUAUUACAAAUAUUCUAUCAGUAGAACCUAAAACAACAAGUAUCAAACUUGUUUAAACAUAACAAAACCAUCUAUUCUAUUAAAAUACAUAAAAAUCUAAAGCUUUCAACCAAAAUCAUAUUACACCAAGUCUAAAACGAACCAAGUUUUGCAACAAUCAAUCAAGUCUAAAUAUCCUAUUACAUAAUCUAAAUUACUACCGAUCUUCAUCGAUUUCAGUCUCCUCAUUGUUAGAUUCUUCCAUUGAAUGACGUUGUUUUUCAUGAUUUGCCAUGAAUAUCCGCAUCAUACUUAUUGUUUCUUGAGCAUUAUUCCAUUGUUGAGACAAUUCAUUGAUUUGCGUCCGCAUAGUCUCAAUUUCUUUGGGUGAAGCAGAAGUACCACUAAAUAAUACGGUUGGACGACUAGACGACGGCUGCACUCCAAGUCCGUAGAUUCUAUCUUUAUUUAUUUUUAUGAGAAAUAAAAAAAUAUUUAAAUUAGCAAUAAAAGAAACAUGCAACUUGGGUAAAAUAAUAUUAAAACGAAAUCAUAUCUAAAAAUGUAUAAAAUAUUUUAUAUCUUUAUUUACUCAACCAGUUGCCUGUGUCCAUAUCGAAGUCAUAUCUUCGGGCAUUCAUUGAGAAUCGGGCUGAGUUUGUUGCUACUCCUCCAUUCUUCUUUGAUACCCUUCCUGAAAUGUUGUUGACAAACACUAUAUAAACGAAUUAAUCUUAAUCAAGAAUAAAUGUAGUGUUGAAUUUAGAAUCUUACAUAUGUUUCCAAUGCACGUGGUUUGAUCCAUCCUUCUCUUGUACCAUCCUUCUUUUUUUUCUUCUUCUUAUGUGUCUCCUCAAAGACACUAGCAUGAGAUACAUUUCCCCUAUGUGCCUUUUCCUUUCAAAAUAAAAAAUAUGAGUUUAUUACUUGAAUCUCAUAUAAGUAAAGCUAAGUAAAAUAUUAUAAAUAAAUUACCAAUCUCAAUCGAUGGGCCGCAAAACUGAUUGAACCUCUGGUGUGCAACGAGCCACCCUUACUGGAGUCUCUAUUUGCCUUCGCUUUUUCACUCUUUUGCUUCUAUUAUUCGGUAUUCCACUUCUCCAAUAGUUGAAGUCCAGACAUCUUCACGCAACCAUAAAGUCCUUCUCCCACCUUUCCGAACAAGAAAAUGAGUAUCUUUAAUCCUUUUCUGAGCUCUCUUCUCGAAAUUUUCAUUCACCUGAAUUUCAUGCUGAGGCUGCCAUACACACUUAGUAUGCAAUUAAAACAAAUGUUAGACGAACAUAAUAAAUAUUAUAUAAAUUAUAUUUAUUCGUACCUUAAAUUGAAGCCACAUAUUCACUCUGAUUUGGUAUGGAAUAUCUCUUCAGGAAUUCCACGUCUGAUGGAAAAAUGGAUUCAUAGCUUCCACAACCAUAUGUCUGGCCUGAAAGGAUGGCAAAACCUGCUAUAACGACCAGAUCGGUCAUUUUGCUUUCUAGAACCCCGUUCCCCUAAAUGAGACUCCUUGUAUGUGUUUUUACUGUUUUAUAACUUGCGAGAAUGGUUAGUUCUGUCACAACCCAAACUGAUGGGUCGCGACGGGUGCCUGAGUCCUACCUGUCAAACACCCCUAAGCAUGCGUCUAAGAUAUGAAUUUGAAUAACAUCUGCUGAAUUAUGAAAAUAACAUAUAUGAAGGAAACUUGCCAACAAAGCAUAUGUACGUAUACAUGCAUGAUAUAGUGGGUGAGCCGGCAAGGCUGCUAUAGACAACUAUACAUUCAAAACUGAAGGACGACAAGGCCACAUACAACCCAACUAGACAUACUGUCCAUAGACUUCUAAUAGAAACAUAAUUGUACAAAGACGGGAUUGAGCCACGUCAUACCCAUAUAUAUAUAUAUAUACAUACAAACGUAUCAUACCAAAAUCAAAAGCAACUCCGGAUCAAGUGGAGCACGCCAACUUUCGCUGAUCAGGGAUCCUAAGAAGGGGGACCGUCAGCUUGCCUACCUACACCUGUGGGCAUGAAACGCAGGCCCCGUGAAAUAGGGCGUUAGUACCAAAAAUGUACUGAGUAUGUAAGGCAUGAAAAUUAUUAUGUAAAAGACAUAGAUGAAACAUGGAAUAUAGAAACACGUCUUUAAAUCUGAAUAACUUUAUAAAUUCUAAAAUGUUUAUAACAUCAUGCACAUGCGUAUAAAUGUUGUGUCAUGCGUAUGUAUGGGUGUACAUAAUAUUAUCAAGUCACUGAAGGCAUUCCAUCAUAUCGUCUCGGCCACUGUGGGCAAUAUCAUCAACAUAUACCAGCUGAUCAGGUGGUGGUGCGUAUAUAACACCGUAACCUUUUCCCAUAUCCCAAAUACAUAUAUUUACAUAUAUACGCAUAUAUAAUGCCAUCAGGUCAUGGGCCAAUGCACAUAUAUAAAUGGGUGAAAUGCAUCAAAAAUACGUAAUAAUCUUAAUAUUUCUUCCGGAUAAACUUUUGUCACGACCCCGGUUCGCCCUCCGUGAACCAUCGUGAUGACACCUAUUCCCUAUGACUAGGUAAGCCUAAAUUUUGGAAAAUAAACCAAUUUGCAGAAGUAAAACAAUUUAAAACAGAAUUAGAGUAAUAAGACAGUGUUUAAAAGUGCCGCUCGGCAUACACAAUAUUUAACUCCUAGAAACCAAUACAUAUCUCCAAGAUCCGGAAACCCAUGAAUCACAAGCUAAGGAUCACUACAUAGUGCUCUAACUCUAGAAUAGUCUAAAACAAAAUAAAUACAGAAGGGCAGUCACUAUAAGAGAGAGUGGAGAGAGACUCCUCGGUCUGCAAACGCAACAAAUAUACCUCGAAGUCUCCGAACGGUUGCCUCACCUCAAGGAUGGUAAGUCUGAGUCAAGGUACCUGGAUCUGCACAUGAAAAAAUAUGCGUAGAAAGGGCAUGAGUACACCACAACGGUAUUCAGUAAGUGCCAAGCCUAACCUCGAUCGGGUAGUGACGAGGAAGGUCAGGGCCCUACUAAGGUUAAAUAAAAUACAAAGUAUAACGGUGUAGAACAAGAAAGUAUAAUUAAGUGCAACAGUAAGAAAUAACAUAGAAUAGAAAGAGCAACAACAACUAGAAUAGAGGCAAAAUAAUCACCGAGGGAACACAGCUCAACACAGAGAUAACAACCGAGGAUCUAUUAGGAUACCGUCCUGUAGCCCCCAAAUGUAAAUGUGCAGUGGAUCUCCCGGGUGUUGUCCCGUAGCCCAACUCAAAAUGCGCCGGGGAUCUACCGGAAUCCCGUUCCGUAGUCCCUAUACCUAGUACCGGGGGAAUCUACCGGGUGCAGUCCCGUAGUUCCAUAUAACUGUGCAGGGGGAUCUACCGGAAUCCCACAUCAGUAGUCCCAAAUAAACAGACAAUGUGGAGCUACCGGAAUCCCACAUCCGUAGUCCCAAUGUAAAUACACAACAGCAACUGGAAAAUAUUCAGAAAUGAUAAAUUUCAUAUUAAGGCAACAAAUAAUUCUAGCCUAGCAUGCUGCAUAGAAUUUAGAUAAGGCAAUUUGAGCAAAUAAAGCAAUUAAAUCACUUAUACAUGCUUUUCUAAGCUAAUAACAGGCUUAAUAGUGUGAGUAAUAAAAACAGGAAAGGAAACAUACUAGUAAUUACUUGAUGAAAAUCGGAUUUCCAACAACUAGCACAAGUGCACACUCGUCACCUCAUGUACAAGGCAUUUCAAUUACCAAAUAUACCAAAUCCUAAGGGGAAGGUCCCCCACACAAGGUUAGGCAAGCCACUUACAUCGAACCGACUCAAAAUCAACUCGAAACCACGUUCUUGCCACGAGUACUCGACUCCAAAUGACCCAAAUCUAUUCAAUUCAAUUGCAUAAUAUAAAUAACACUUCAAGUAAUUGAUUCUACAAUUAAAUUCUAAGCUAAUAAGCGAAAUUAGGUAAAAUGACCAAAAUGCCACUCGGGCCUACAUCUCGGAAUCGGGUGAAAUUUACAUUUUCAGAAACCUCGUAUUCUCAUGAGUCUAUACAUAACAAGAACACUGAAAUCAGAGUUCAAUUGACCCCUCAAAUACCCAUGUUAAGGUCUCUUAAUCUCAAGCCCUAAUUACCCAUUUUUUCCCAAAAUUUUCACCACUAAUUAGGUCUUUAAUCACAUAUAAACGAGUUAUGAAGGCAAAAAUGUUACCUCCAAGUGAUUCCCCUUUGGUUUCCUAAAAAAUCUCCCCCAAAAGCUUCAAUCCCGUUCAAAAAUGAUGGAUAAAUGAAGAAGGGUCGCGGAUGGGCUAUUUAAAUACUGCCCAGAUUUAAUCCUACGUGAUCGCGACCAGCUCUAUGCGAUCGCAUAGAGAAAAUUCUAUCACCCCACUUCCACACCAAGUCCUUCUACGCGAACGCAAGGGUCCUUAUGCGAACGCAGUGACCAACCAACUUACCCUAUGCGAUCCCACUCCCUCCUCUGCGAUCGAAAUUCACAAAAAUAUGCCUGAACUCAACUUACCCUACGCAAUCGCGGAUGGUCUCACGUGAUCGUAGUGAACAAAUCACUGCUGCAAAAAUAUCAGAAAACCAGCAAUCACUCAAAGGCCAAAAGUGCUCGUUUGAGCAUCCGAAGUACAUCCGAGGCCUCUAGGACCUCAACCAAACCUACCAACAUAUUCCAUAACAUCAUUCAUACUUUUUCCAACCUUCGGAACGCUCAAAACAACAUAAAAACACCAAUUUAGCAUCAGAUUCAAGCCUAAGAACUUUAUAAACUUUAAAAAUACGCUUACGAUCAAAAAGUCUAUCAAACCUCGUCCGAAUGACCUGAAAUUUUGCACACACGUCACAUUCAACAUAACGGAGCUACUCCAACUUCUGGAAUUCCAUUCCUACUCUCGGAUUAAAAUCUCACUAUCGAACAGGAAACUUCAAAAAUUCACCUUUCGGCAUUUCAAGCCUAAAUUAGCUACAAACCUCCAAAACACAAUCCGAACACGCCCCUAAGCCCGAAAUCACCCAAUGGAGCUAACGGAACCAUCAGAUUUUCAUUCUGAGGCCAUCUUCACACUAUUCCGACUACGGUCAACUUUCCAACACAUAACUCUCAUUUAGGGACUAAGUGUCCCAAAACUCUCCGAAACUCAAAACCGAACAUCCUGGCAAAUCAAAAUAGCAGAAUAAACUCGGGGAAAGCAGUUAAUGGGGGAUCAGGGCAUAAAUUCUUAAGACAACCGGCCGGGUCGUCACAUCCUCCUACACUUAAACAUUUGUUCGUCCUCGAACGAGCAUAAAAACAUACCUGAAGUAGUGAAAAGAUGAGGGUAAUGGCUGCACAUAUCCUGCUCGGUCUCCCAGGUCGCCUCCUCGCCCGGCUGACCCCGCCACUGAACCUUCACUGAUGCAAUAUUCUUUGACCUCAGGUUUCUAACCUGCCUGUCCAAUAUCGCCACUGGCUCCUCAACAUAGGAUAGAUCCUUGUCCAACUAGACUGAACUGAAAUCUAACACGUGCGACGGAUCACCGUGAUACCUCCGGAGUCAUCGAAACAUAAAAUACCAGAUGAACUCCUGCCAAGCUGGGAGGUAAGGCAAGCUCAUAAGCAACCUUCCCAACACACCUCAAUAUCUCAAAAGGGCCAAUAAAUCUCGGACUCAACUUUCCCUUCUUCCCNNNNNNNNNNNNNNNAUAGGUGAAACCCGAAGCAGAACCUGCUCUCUAACCAUAUAGGAAACAUCACGAACUUUCCGGUCCGCGUAACUCUUCUGUCUGGACUGGGCUGUACGGAGUCUAUCCUGAAUCACCUUAACAUUCUCCAAAGCAUCCUAAAUUAAGUCUGUGCCCAAUAAUCUAGCCUCACCCAGCUCAAACCAAUCCACCGGGGAUCUACACCACCUACCAUAUAAAGCCUCGUACGACGCUAUCUGAAUGCUGGACUGAUAGCUGUUGUUGUAAGCAAACUUCGCCAAUGGCAAGAACUGAUCCAAAGACCCUCCAAACUCAAUCACACAUGCACGGAGCAUAUCCUCAAGAAUCUAAAUAGUGCGCUCAGACUAUCCGUCCGUCUGAGGGUGAAAUGUUGUACUCAGCUUCACCCGAGUACCCAACUCAUGCUAAACGGCUCUCCAGAAUCGUGAUGUGAACUAAAUACCUCUAUCCGAAAUGAUGGAAACUGGAAUACCAUGCAGACGAACAAUCUCCCGGAUAUAGAUCUCCUCCAACCGCUCCGAGGAAUAAGUAGUAAACACGGGAAUAAAGUGAGCGGACUUGGUUAGCCGAUCAAUAAUCACCCAAAUAGCAUCGAACCUUCUCAAAGUCUGUGGGAGCCCAACUACAAAGUCCAUGGUGAUUCGCUCCAAUUUCCACUCCGAAAUCUCUAUCUGCUAAAGCAACACACCCGGUCUCUGGUGCUCAUACUUCACUUGCUGACAGUUAAGGCACCGAGCUACAAAUCCAACUAUAUCUUUCUUCAUCCGCCUCCACCAAUAGUGCUGCCUUAAAUCCUGAUAUAUCUUCGCAGCACUCGGAUGAAUGGAAUACCUGGAUCUAUGGGCCUCCUCCAGAAUCAACUCCCGAAGCCCAUCAACAUUGAAUACAUAAAUCCGACCCUGCAUCCUUAACACCACAUCAUCACCAAUAGUCACAUCUCUGGCAUCACUGUGCUGAACCUUGUCCUUGAGGACAAGCAAAUGAGGGUCAUCAUAUUGUCGCUCCCUGAUAUGAUCAAAUAAGGAAGACCGAAAAACCACGCAAGCUAUAACCCGACUGGGCUCCGAAAGAUCCAAUCUCUCAAACUGGCUGGCUAGGGGCUGAACAUCCAUCGCCAUAGGUCUCUCCGAUGCUGGUAAAUAAGCCAAACUCUCCAAACUCUCUGCCCGACAACUCAAGGUAUCAGCCACCACAUUGGCCUUGCCUGGGUAAUACAAAAUAGUGAUAUCAUAAUCUUUUAGCAACUCUAACCAUCUCCUCUGGCGCAAAUUUAAAUCCUUUUGCUUGAACAGGUGCUGCAAGCUCCGAUGGUCAGUAUAAAUCUCACAGGGAACCCCGUAUAAAUAAUGGUGCCAGAUCUUCAGGGCGUGAACAAUGGUAGCUAACUCAAGGUCAUGGACAUGGUAAUUCUUCUCAUGUAUCUUCAACUGACUGGACGCGUUGGCAAUCACCUUACUGUUCUGCAUCAACACCGCUCUGAGGCCAAUCAUUGAGGCAUCACAAUAGACCAUAUAAGACCCUGAACUUGUCGGCAGUAUCAAAAUUGGGGCUGUGGUCAAAGCUAUCUUGAGCUUCUGAAAGCUCGCCUCACACUCCUCCGUCUACUGGAACGGAGCACCCUUUUGGAUCAACCUGGUCAUGGGGGUUGCAAUUGAUGAAAACCCCUCCAUAAAACGACGGUAGUAACCCGCCAAGCCAAGGAAACUGCGAAUCUCCGUAGCUGAGGACGGUCUGGACCAACUCUGCAUGACCUCUAUUUUCUUCGGAUCCACCUGAAUGCCCUCACUCGAUACCACGUGGCCUAGGAAUNNNNNNNNNNNNNNNNNNNNNNNNNUCUUCCCAACUCCGGGAAUACACCAGAAUAUCAUCAAUAAAAUGAUGAACGAGUCAAGAUACGGCUGGAACAUACUGUGCAUCAAAUGCAUAAAGGCUGCUGGGGCAUUGGUCAGCCCAAAUGACAUAACAAGGAACUCGUAAUGACCAUACCGAGUCCUGAAAGCAGUCUUCGGGAUAUCUGACUCCCGAAUCUUCAAUUGAUGGUAACCUAAGCGCAAGUCAAUCUUAGAAAACACCCGCGCACCCUAAAGUUGGUCAAACAAAUCAUUAAUUCGAGGCAAAGGAUAAUGGUUCUUCAUUGUAACCUUGUUCAACUGGCGAUAAUCAAUACACAUAUGCAUCGAACCAUCCUUUUUCUUUACAAACAAGACAAGAGCACCCCAAGGUGAUACAUUGGGCCGAAUAAAACCCUUAUCAAGCAAUUCCUGUAACUGAUCCUUCAACUCAGGAGGAGCCAUAUGAUACGUAGGAAUAGAAAUGGGCUGAGUGCCCGACAACAUAUCAAUGCCAAAAAUCAAUAUCUCUAUUAGGCGGCAUGCCCGAAAGAUCAACUAGAAACACAUCGGAAAAAUCUCGUACUACUAGAACUGAAUCAACUGAAGGGGUAUCAACACUGACAUCUCUCACAUAAGCUAAAUACGCAUCACACCCCUUCUCAACCAUACGCUGAGCUUUAAGAAAAGAGAUAACUCUACUAGGAGUGUGAUCUAAAGUACCCAUCCACUCAACACGCGGCACACCUGGCAUAGCUAGUGUCACGGUUUUGGCGUGACAAUCAAGAAUAGCAUAGUGGGGUGACAACCAGUCCAUGCCAAGAUAAUGUCAAAAUCUACCAUACUGAGCAACAAUAAAUCGGCUUUGGUCUCAAAACCACUAAGAGCAACCAAACACGACCGAUAAAUGCGGUCCACAACAAGACAAUCUCCUACAGGAGUAAAAACAUAAACAGGGGAACUCAAAGAAUCCCGAGAUAUACCCAAAUGCGGAGCAAAAUAAGAAGACACAUAAGAAUAAGUGGAGCCUGGAUCGAAUAGAACCGAUGCAUCUCUGUGACAAACCAGUAUAAUACCUAUGAUGACAGAAUUGGAGGCAACAACCUCGGUACGGGCAGGAAGGGCAUAGUAUCUGGCCUGGCCUCUCCCUCUAGGGCGACCUCUACCUUCCUGACCUCCACCUCUAGCUAGUUGAGCAGGUGGGGUAGCAACUGGAGCUGUAACCAUAGCCUGAGAACUCUGUGGGGCAUGUUGUGGUUGAGAAGUCUGUGGACGUGCACCCCUCCCAAGUCUGGGGCAAUCCCUCACCAUAUGACGUGUGUCACCACAUUCAAAACAAGCUCUGGGAGGACAUGGUGGCUAUGAUUGGCUCGGUCCAGGUCUGCUGGACUGACCUCUAAAAGCACCCCGCGCAGGAGGUAGCUAGAUGUCAGUGGUGCAUAAUAAAGCUCCUGAGGCCUAGGAGGAGCUGGAAUACCGCUGCCUGUUGGAAGAGCCAAAUGAACAGGGCGGCUCAUAUAACCCCUACCAUGAUGACCUGCUAUUGGGGCACGGGCACCAGAGAAAUGGCCCGACUCUCGAGACCUCUUGGCUUCCCUUUCCUCUCUCUCCCUAGCAUGCAUACCCUCAAUCCUUCUAGAAAUGCUCACCACCUGCUGAUAAGAAAUAUCCAUCUCCAACUCAUGAGCCAUACUAGACCUGAUGCUGGGAAUAAGGCCCUUAAUAAACCGGCAAACCCUCUCGCAAAUAGUAGAAACCAAGGCUGGUGCAUGCCUAGCCAAAUUGGUGUAACGGACAGCAAACUCUGAGACAGUCAUAGUACCCUGGCGCAAAUGCUCAAACUCUGCGCGCCAUGCGUACNNNNNNNNNNNNNNNNNNNNNNNNNNNNNNNNNNNNNNNNNNNNNNNNNNNNNNNNNNNNNNNNNNNNNNNNNNNNNNNNNNNNNNNNNNNNNNNNNNNNNNNNNNNNNNNNNNNNNNNNNNNNNNNNNNNNNNNNNNNNNNNNNNNNNNNNNNNNNNNNNNNNNNNNNNNNNNNNNNNNNNNNNNNNNNNNNNNNNNNNNNNNNNNNNNNNNNNNNNNNNNNNNNNNNNNNNNNNNNNNNNNNNNNNNNNNNNNNNNNNNNNNNNNNNNNNNNNNNNNNNNNNNNNNNNNNNNNNNNNNNNNNNNNNNNNNNNNNNNNNNNNNNNNNNNNNNNNNNNNNNNNNNNNNNNNNNNNNNNNNNNNNNNNNNNNNNNNNNNNNNNNNNNNNNNNNNNNNNNNNNNNNNNNNNNNNNNNNNNNNNNNNNNNNNNNNNNNNNNNNNNNNNNNNNNNNNNNNNNNNNNNNNNNNNNNNNNNNNNNNNNNNNNNNNNNNNNNNNNNNNNNNNNNNNNNNNNNNNNNNNNNNNNNNNNNNNNNNNNNNNNNNNNNNNNNNNNNNNNNNNNNNNNNNNNNNNNNNNNNNNNNNNNNNNNNNNNNNNNNNNNNNNNNNNNNNNNNNNNNNNNNNNNNNNNNNNNNNNNNNNNNNNNNNNNNNNNNNNNNNNNNNNNNNNNNNNNNNNNNNNNNNNNNNNNNNNNNNNNNNNNNNNNNNNNNNNNNNNNNNNNNNNNNNNNNNNNNNNNNNNNNNNNNNNNNNNNNNNNCAUCCCGACUCGUUUAACUCAUAGGUGCGCCACCACUCAUAGGCGGCUCCUCGAAGCUGGAAAGUAGUGAAGAAAACCUUACUCGAUCCUGAUAUACCGGUCACACCUCCUUUUUUACUACCCCCGGAAGAGUAUAAGGGAGUUUUUUCCAAUUUAAGUGACAAUCGAAACAGGAUUAUUUAUAUUAAAAUUCAGAGUCGCCACUUGGAAUAAUUUAUGGUGUCCCAAGUCACCAGUUCAAAUCCCGAAUCAAGGAAAGAUUGACUCUGUUUUACAGUCCGCGAACACAAAAAUCCGGGUAAGGAAUUUUGUUAACCUGAGAGAAGGUGUUAGGCAUUCCCGGGUUCCUGCUUUUAGCAUGGUCACUCAACUGUUAUUAUUGGCAUAUUUAUUUGAUUUUAAAACAUCUUUUAAACUUAUGUGCAUUUUAUCCCUUUAAACCCGCUUUUAAUAAUCUAAUUAUCAUACAACUAAUUACUUUGACUACACAUCGCGAAUCAUGUCAUGGGAACCGUACCCACGAUCUACAACAUGUUUAGUUUAAUUAAAAAGAUUAAAUUGGGGCCGGAUCACAUAAAUGUACUCCCGAAUUUUAGAAAUUAAACAUUACGACUACGUCACGGGAACCGUACCCGUAGCCAUGACAAUUAUUCAAUUAAUGCGCCUAAAGCAAACUACGAAAGUUCAAGGCAUUUUUUAUACUAAUUUUUGUAUUUAUGCGAAGGCCAUGGAAAAUUCAACUAAAUGGCACACCUCGAGUCUAAUUUUAAGAGGAACUAAUUAAUUAAAAGCCAAGGGAAUUCAUAAUUAUUAUUCUUUAAAGCUAAUGUUCAAACUAAGCUCAUUAAUCAGAAGGUCUAGUAUAGAAGGAGAUCCGAUCCAUAUCUAUUCGGAAGCUUGGGCCUGGCAGCAGGCCCAAUGGUUUAUUGAAAAUUUUCAUAUUGAUGCAGAAGGCGACGGUGUUGAGCCCAAGCCUGACAGAGUUAUGAGGCUGCAAAUCUCCUUGUCUCACAAUAGCCUUAAGGUUCAGGAUCAAAGGAAGCCCAAACCUUACAAAAAAAAA